rnacentral:snRNA from 1 species
GAGUAUGAGAGAGACCUGUCUGGGACAUCUGUCACCCCAUUUUUUGCCAAGAUGAUCUAACUGGUAUGUGUGGCAGCUGUCUCCUUUCUCUAUCCCUGAUCCACAUACAUUUUUCCUGAAGCUGCACCCUGGGUUGAAAACUUUCUGCAACAGAAGAAUAAUUAUAUUCUCUUGCUAGGUC